AUUGAACGCUGGCGGCGUGCCUAAUACAUGCAAGUCGAACGAGUGGCGGACGGGUGAGUGACAAGUGGGAACCUACCCAUCCGAGGGGGAUAACACUUGGCAACAAGCGCUAAUACCGACUACUGAUGGAUGGAGCGGGGGGGCAUUCGCUAGUUGGUGAGGUAACGGCUCACCAAGGCCACGAUGCAUAGCCGAGCUGAGAGGGUGAUCAGCCACACUGGGACUGAGACACGGCCCAGACUCCUACGGGAGGCAGCAGUGGGGAAUAUUGCACAAUGGGCGCAAGCCUGAUGCAGCCAUGCCGCGUGUAUGAAGAAGGCCUUAGGGUUGUAAAGUACUUUCAGCGGGGAGGCGUUACCCGCAGAAGAAGCACCGGCUAACUCCGUGCCAGCAGCCGCGGUAAUUC
rnacentral:rRNA from 1 species